UACGUAGGGUGCGAGCGUUAAUCGGAAUUACUGGGCGUAAAGCGUGCGCAGGCGGUUUUGUAAGCCAGAUGUGAAAUCCCCGGGCUUAACCUGGGAAUGGCAUUUGGGACUGCAAGGCUUGAGUGCGGCAGAGGAGACUGGAAUUCCUGGUGUUGCAGUGAAAUGCGUAGAUAUCAGGAGGAAUACCGAUGGCGAAGGCAGGUCUCUGGGCUGACACUGACGCUCAUGCACGAAAGCGUGGGGAGCAAACAGG
rnacentral:rRNA from 1 species